CUGGAGCCAUGCAUCUCUCCAUGCAUACUCUUUGGUACCCAUGAAGCAACUUCAUUGGAAACUUUCGCCCCAAGGAAUGGCUAAUAGCUUUCCAUUAUGUAAAAGAUUUUGUUGCUGGUUCGAUACAAGAAGUCAGGACAUUGAAUCUUCCAGUGUCUAUUGUUCAUUAUAUGGAUAUUUUAUCAGUUGA